AGUGAACGCUGGCGGCAGGCCUAACACAUGCAAGUCGAGCGGCAGCGCGUCCGACCACCCUCGGGUGGUCGGAUGGCGGCGAGCGGCGGACGGGUGAGGAAUGCAUCGGAAUCUGCCUCGUUGUGGGGGAUAACGUAGGGAAACUUACGCUAAUACCGCAUACGACCUACGGGUGAAAGUGGGGGACCUUCGGGCCUCACGCGAUGAGAUGAGCCGAUGCCGGAUUAGCUAGUUGGCGGGGUAAAGGCCCACCAAGGCGACGAUCCGUAGCUGGUCUGAGAGGAUGAUCAGCCACACUGGAACUGAGACACGGUCCAGACUCCUACGGGAGGCAGCAGUGGGGAAUAUUGGACAAUGGGGGCAACCCUGAUCCAGCCAUGCCGCGUGUGUGAAGAAGGCCUUCGG
rnacentral:rRNA from 1 species